GACGAACCGUGCGAACGUUAUUCGGAAUCACUGGGCUUAAAGCGCGUGUAGGCGGGACGGCACGUCUGUCGCUGAAAUCCCCCGGCUUAACCGGGGAACUGGCGGAGAUACGACCGUCCUGGAGGGGCGUAGGGGGACCUGGAACUUCCGGUGUAGCGGUGAAAUGCGCAGAUAUCGGGAAGAACACCCGUGGCGAAGGCGGCUCUCUGGGACGGUACUGACGCUGAGACGCGAAAGCGUGGGGAGCGAACAGG
rnacentral:rRNA from 1 species